rnacentral:lncRNA from 1 species
NNNNNNNNNNNNUUGCCUUUAUUGAUAAAAACUUCUCCUGGUUCUCCAUAUUUAGCGAAAAGUCUUUUGAAUUCAUCCUCUGUGAUAUCAGCAGGUAGAUUCCCAACAAACAACCAACAACGCUGAGUGUAAGUUUUCUCUCCAGGCCUCCUCAAGAGAGACAAGUUGGCUUUAAAUCCCUCUGAGUCGGAGAUCUCGCUGCGGCCGCCUGGCCCGCCAGGUUGAAUGGAGUCAUCUCAAGUUUUAAGUUGUUUCCUCAACUGAAAAAAUACAGAAAACACCCCUAUUUCAAAGGUUUGUUUACACUCACUUAUUUGAAAGAAAUAAUUUCACAUGUUUUGAGAUGGGCAAUAGCUGUAGCACCAGCCAUAUAGGAAUAGAAGCCACAAUGCCUGCUGCAGAGAUGCUCACUGGCUAGUGAAGGAGGCAGCCGGUUCUCUGGGCAGGAGAGGAAAUUUCUAAACCAGUUUGGACCCAAGGCCCUCCAAGGAAUUUAAGCAAAGAAUGAUGGGGACUGCCACGUCUUACUUACUAGAGCACACAGCAUCUUGUUGUGUCCUAUGAGCCCUGCCCCCCAUGUAUCUGGCCCACAUAAACUUCAAGCUCAUUCAUCACUUUUGGAAGCCGAUAUCAAUGCCACCCUGAUAUCAAUGCCAUCCUCUUCAGUCACCUCUCUGCUUGGUUCUGCAGAAACUCCGUUUUCUAACACUUUCUGUAAGGCAGAAGAAUCAGGAACUGUUCCAAGCCACAAAGACAUGGUAGGAUUUACCAUGUGAUUUUAGGUCAUCACUGCCUGCCUUUCUGCCUGCUUGUGAUCUCUCUAUGUCAAA